UACGUAGGGUGCGAGCGUUAAUCGGAAUUACUGGGCGUAAAGCGUGCGCAGGCGGUUGUGUAAGACAGAUGUGAAAUCCCCGGGCUUAACCUGGGAACUGCGUUUGUGACUGCACGACUUGAGUACGGCAGAGGGGGUGGAAUUCCACGUGUAGCAGUGAAAUGCGUAGAGAUGUGGAGGAACACCGAUGGCGAAGGCAGCCCCCUGGGCUAGUACUGACGCUCAUGCACG
rnacentral:rRNA from 1 species